UGUUCAUCACCUUGGGCAAGCUGGCCAGCAGCUACGCCCUGCGGUGCGUCCCCUUCGUGGGCAUGACGCUCUUCGCCCUGCGCACGAUGCUGAGCCAGGUGGGGAGCAGCCGGACCCUGCGCGCCGUCUGCAGCGUCCUGGAGCAGUGGUCGAAGGCCGUGAACACCUACCUGGGCGCCUGGGAGCAAUGCAGC